AACGAACGCUGGCGGCAUGCCUAACACAUGCAAGUCGAACGAGACCUUCGGGUCUAGUGGCGCACGGGUGCGUAACGCGUGGGAACCUGCCCUUAGGUUCGGAAUAACUCCCCGAAAGGGGUGCUAAUACCGGAUAAUGUCUUCGGACCAAAGAUUUAUCGCCUUUGGAUGGGCCCGCGUUGGAUUAGCUAGUUGGUAGGGUAAAAGCCUACCAAGGCGACGAUCCAUAGCUGGUCUGAGAGGAUGAUCAGCCACACUGGGACUGAGACACGGCCCAGACUCCUACGGGAGGCAGCAGUGGGGAAUAUUGGAAAAUGGGCGAAAGCCUGAUCCAGCAAUGCCGCGUGAGUGAUGAAGGCCUUAGGGUUGGAAAGCUCUUUUACCCGGGAUGAUAAUGACAGUACCGGGAGAAUAAGCUCCGGCUAACUCCGUG
rnacentral:rRNA from 1 species